GCCAGGCAAGUGGCACGUGCCUGUAGUUCCAGAUACUUGGGAGGCUGAGGCAGGAGAAUCACUUAAGCCCAGGAGUUCUGGGCUCUAGUGCACAAUGCCGAUCGGGUGGGUGUCUGCACUAAGUUUAGCAUCAGUAUGAUGACCUCCGGGGAGUGGGGACCCCCAGGUUGCCUAAGGAGGGAUGAACUGGCCCAGGUCGGAAACAGAGCAGGUCAAAACUUGCGUGCUGAUCAGUAGUGAGAUCACACCUGUGAAUAGCCACUGCACUCCGGCCUGGGCAGCAUCGCAAGACCCCAUCUCU
rnacentral:SRP_RNA from 1 species